CAGAUUUUCUCAGAUAAUAGUUUGAGGUCCACUGUUUUUAGGAAAAUCACAUAAAGUGUUACAUGAAAACAUGGUGUUAACAACUCUUCAGCAGAUUUAAGUGAGAAUUAAUGCUUAGUCACACCAUCCUUGCCUUCAAAUUGAAUGAGUGCUGUUCUUUUCACUGGUUUCAAAAUAAGGAUUUUAUGAAGGAUUUCAAAAAAAUGAAAUGGAGAAUAUAUAGACAUCUGAGGGCCUAUUUUAUAUCUCUUUCUCAUCCCAAACUCUUCCAAUACAAAUACCUCCUUUACUAAAGAAGAGAUCUUAAUAGCUCUUAAUAGGGGAGAAGAGGAAUCAUUGAGAGAUAUAACAGAAAAGUUGGCACAGGGUGUUGGAUCUGGCAAAAGGAAAGAGCUAAAACAACAAUAUUAUGAAUUUACAUAUUAGAAAGUAUACUAUUUCUUACUAAAG
rnacentral:lncRNA from 1 species